UGACGGUACCUGCAGAAGAAGCUCCGGCUAACUACGUGCCAGCAGCCGCGGUAAUACGUAGGGAGCGAGCGUUAUCCGGAUUCAUUGGGCGUAAAGCGCGCGUAGGCGGCUUGCCAAGCGGGAUCUCCAAUCUGGGGGCUCAACCUUCAGCCGGAUCCCGAACUGGCAGGCUCGAGUUCGGUAGAGGAAGACGGAAUUCCCAGUGUAGCGGUGAAAUGCGCAGAUAUUGGGAAGAACACCGAUGGCGAAGGCAGUCUUCUGGGCCGUAACUGACGCUGAGGUGCGAAAGCUAGGGGAGCGAACAGGAUUAGAUACCCUG
rnacentral:rRNA from 1 species